rfam:Absidia repens strain NRRL 1336 BCR42scaffold_1, whole genome shotgun sequence.
UCCCCUGUGGCCUAGUUGGUUUAAGGCCUCGUGCUUAUAGUUAAAAGCUAUGUAAGAGUCACGCGAAAAUCGCGAGUUCGAUCCUCGCCAGGGGAA